AUCGCUUCUCGGCCUUUUGGCUAAGAUCAAGUGUAGUAUCACUAGCAAUUAGAGAAAUGUAAAUCAAAACCACUCUAA
rnacentral:sRNA from 1 species